rnacentral:rRNA from 1 species
UGCGGAGGAUCAUUAAUGAGUUAGGGUCUCUUAUGGCCCGACCUCCCAACCCAUUGUUUAUUGAAUCUCUGUUGCUUCGGCGGACCAGUCCUCCGGGACUGCCGGAGGAUCGUCGGAAGGCGUAUAUCCUCUGGCCCGCGUCCGCCGACGGCCAGUACAUUUAAACCCUAGAAUAAAUCGUGUGAUAAUAUCUAAGUUUAUAAUACAAUUAAAGCAAAACUUUCAACAACGGAUCUCUUGGUUCUGGCAUCGAUGAAGAACGCRGCGAAAUGCGAUAAGUAAUGCGAAUUGCAGAAUUCCAGUGAGUCAUCGAAUCUUUGAACGCACAUUGCGCCCUUUGGUAUUCCGAAGGGCAUGCCUGUUCGAGCGUCAUUAUCACCCCUCAAGCCCUAUGCUUGAUGUUGGACGGCUUGGUUGAAUUGGCAUUCAACCCCUCCUAAAGACAAUGACGGCGACCUAUGGUUCCCCCGGCACACUGAGCUUCUCACCGAGCAUGUACUGGACAAGGGUACCUGGGUCACGGUCCUCUCCCUCUAACGGGAAAAACAUCAACUUCAAGGUUGACCUCGGAUCAGGUAGGAAUACGCGCUGAACUUAAGCAUAUCAAUAAGCGCAGGAAAAGAAACCAACAGGGAUUGCCUCAGUAACGGCGAGUGAAGCGGCAACAGCUCAAAUUUGAAAUCUGGCCUCUCGGGGUCCGAGUUGUAAUUUGUAGAGGAUGUUUCGGGUACCGCCCCGGUUUAAAUUUCUUGGAACAGAAUGUCAAAGAGGGUGAGAGUCCCGUCUUGGACCGGUGGUAGGGGCCUAUGUGAAACUCCUUCGACGAGUCGAGUUGUUUGGGAAUGCAGCUCAAAAUGGGUGGUAAAUUUCAUCUAAAGCUAAAUAUUGGCCAGAGACCGAUAGCGCACAAGUAGAGUGAUCGAAAGAUGAAAAGCACUUUGAAAAGAGAGUUAAACAGUAUGUGAAAUUGUUGAAAGGGAAGCGCUUACAACCAGACUUGAGCGUGGUGGUUCCCCUAGCCUUUUGGCUAGGCUACUCUGUCACGACCAGGCCAACAUCGGUUCUGAGGGUCGGUUAAAGGCCCCGGGAAUGUAUCUACCUACGGGUAGACUUAUAGAUCGGGGUGUCAUGCGGCCUCUCAGGACCGA